CAAACUUUAAGCUAAUGUUUCCUAAAGUAGAAGGCAGCAGCAACCGCGUUGUGAUUUUGGAAACAAAGCCUAAUUCCGAAGUGCUCCUUCUUCCCUCUGGAUCCGGCUUUUACUUGGCUACUUGAUCAGCUCAGCUGUACUUAGGAGGAAACGCUUUCUGAUAAAUUUGUACAGGGCUACUCUGCCCCCCCACCCUUCCCCCGCCACCCCCAGACAUUCAAAGGGGACUAAGUAGAAAGGCCUCAUUUUUAAAAAACAAAACAAACAAAAAAAUCAGAUCGGACAUAAUUGCCUGGGAUAUGCCUUAGAUUUAACAUUUCCACAGGCUGCAACGUCCCCAGCAAGCUCCCUCGUUCUUUACAGCAAACAAAAGUUUGGAAGUCUUUAAAAACAAAAAUGCUCCGAGAUGCUGUGACGUCUCUAGCUGCAAAGAUUAGGCUCGUGCAAGCUAGGCGGUUCCCUGAAAUGGUCUAAGGAAGCGAAAACUGAGUUUUGGAAGAAGAGGAAGAACGGCAACCCCUUUGAACUCGGGCCUUAGAGAAGAACUUGCUCUGCUCCCUCGCAGCUAUCAGCCGCUCGCCAAACUCUUUAGGGAGAGGAAAGGAGCCGGAACGCCGGUCUUUCCACGAAACUCCGGCUGGCAUUGCUGACUUUGCUGACCUAAAGGAGCCGCCCUUCUUGCAAAGCCCAGCAUGCAUGCUCCUCUAGUCCCAGGGUCCUUGCCUUCCACCACUCAGACUGAUCUUCCAGUCCCAUUGAAGAAAUUUUAUCAGGGUGAACCUCUGGCCCUGGGGAUCACACAGAUAUUCAUAGGAAUCAUAGGAAUGAUUUUUGGGAUCCUGCUUGAUAUAAUGAAUGAUUAUUUCAUCAUCUAUAGUGUUAUAAAGAUCGCUUAUUGGAGCGGCAUUUUGGUAAUUUUAUAUAAUGCUGUGUUUAAAAAGGUUAACAGCCCAACCAGGGAUCCAAACGCACAUCACAGCAGCCUCAGGGCAAACCGGUCUUACCUGAAAGAUAGUUCAGCAGAUUGGCUAGUUCCAUUUUGUGGCUUAUGUCUGUUCUCCAGAUUUCAGAAAACCGCUAAACUGAGAGAUUACAAACCUUAAUAGAAGUUAUUAUAUUGACUCUCUUUCCUCACUUAUCAACCAGCUCAUUCAGUGAUCAUUUCAAAUCACA